UACGAAGGGGGCUAGCGUUGCUCGGAAUCACUGGGCGUAAAGCGCACGUAGGCGGAUCUUUAAGUCAGGGGUGAAAUCCUGGAGCUCAACUCCAGAACUGCCUUUGAUACUGGGGAUCUCGAGUCCGGAAGAGGUGAGUGGAACUCCGAGUGUAGAGGUGAAAUUCGUAGAUAUUCGGAAGAACACCAGUGGCGAAGGCGGCUCACUGGUCCGGUACUGACGCUGAGGUGCGAAAGCGUGGGGAGCAAACGGG
rnacentral:rRNA from 1 species